UACGGGGGGAGCAAGCGUUGUUCGGAUUUACUGGGCGUAAAGGGCGCGUAGGCGGUCGUGCCAAGUCACUUGUGAAAUCUCCGGGCUUAACUCGGAACGGUCAAGUGAUACUGUCGGACUAGAGUACAGAAGGGGCAACUGGAAUUCUCGGUGUAGCGGUGAAAUGCGUAGAUAUCAGGAGGAACACCAAUGGCGAAGGCAGCUCGCUGGGACGGUACUGACGCUGAGGCGCGAAAGCGUGGGGAGCAAACAGG
rnacentral:rRNA from 1 species